GUCACCAGAGAGGAAAAGAAUAUCCUUGCUGUGCCAAGAAAGAAAAGACCAUGGAUCUACUAGUUGCAGAUUUCAGCAGUAAUGCCAAGGGGGCAAGAAGUGACCAGCAGAACAAUUAGGCCAUGGCAACAGAAGCCAACUACAACCCAUGUUCCAAUCUAUGACCUCCCUCUCCUGCUGGUACAAGGAUAUGGAUAAUGGAAGAAAAAGGUUCUUACCCUUCAGCAGAUAGCAUGCUGAGCCCUGAACAAAUUUUAUGACUUCUGGUGCAAAGCAGACCCAGUCAGCUUGCCUCUAGCAACUGGUUAAUACUACUCCAAGGAAACCACACUUAAAAUUCUUGGAAGUUCUUUUACCAUCACAUCAAGUUGCAUUUUGAAGCUGAAGCCCUUCGAAUCCAUUUAUACCUUGUGAUAUUCCCUUGCCAGAUUGUUGUUUUGUUUGCUAGACAUGAUUUUAGGAUUUUGUCAAGGAAGCCAUCUAUGACCCCAAUCAAUCAAAACCAUAAGGAUCAAGGCUGGAAGAACCUAUUCCUUAGAGCAAAGGAUGCAAUGUCAAGCAAGUUGUGAUACCUCAACUAUCUACAAUUUAACACCAAGGAAAGAACACUGUUUGGAGAAAUGAGAAAGAUUAUCAUCAGUGUCUUUCAGAAGUCAUCAAAAGAAGAAAAGGAGAAAAGAGAGGAGAAAGCAGAAAGAUCUGGAGUCUGGGAAGUUCAAGAGCAUGGCACCAACAUCUGGCAAGGGCUUUCAUUCUGCAUCAUCUCAUGGAGGAAAAUAAAAAGAUUUCAGGUAAAUCCAGAUUUGGAGCUUAAAUGACUCAAAUGCUUUGCCUACAUUGAUCCUACAUUCAGGCUGCUUACAUAUCUCUUGGCUUCUCUGAGAACCAGAUUGUCACCACUUAAAGUGUCUUCCAGAGUCCUCACGAGUAUCAGAGAAGGCAUAAUCUGUACACGUGGCUUCAUUUAAAAUGAAAAUAUCAAGCAGUGUCAUUUUCACAAGUAUCCCCACACUGUCUGAGGCUGAAAAGAAGAGUGUAGCUAUGCACACUGCAGUGAGAAGAAAAUUUCAGCUCAAUUGGAGGAUGUAAAGAUUGAAAUACCACUGCUCCUAGUUCUGAUGCAAAAUUGAAAAGAGUGCACUGGGUCUUCAAAUGGCAUAUUGACAAGGAGAAAGAGGAAAGGAUGCCCCAGGACAGCCUGGGGGUCAAGGCUGGGCUCAGGCAUGCCUGGACAAGCCAUGCAAGUUGUCUCCGGACUUGAACCACGUAUCAGAGGAGCUAUUUGAGGAGCCACAUCAGCAUACCUGCUUCUGUGGGCCCCCAGGCUGUGGUGCUCAGCCCUUGCACUAUGAAACAUUUUUUUUUUCCAGAAGCCAAAGCUUUGAGCAUCUCCUCCCAUGUAGAGAGUGUAUAUGUUUACGUCCAUGUCUUUCGCCAUGUGAACGCAUGCAACCACCACCUCAAAUAUCAUAAAUCCUCUCUCUCCCCCUUUCUGUCUGCCUGUUUAUCUACAAUCUGUCUAUUUAAAUUCUUUUUAAACAAGAAGGGAAUAUCUUUAUGCCUGUUUGUAGGGAUAUUCUACAUCCAUCUGUUAUUUACAUCAUUCGUUUUCCUGAGGUGUCUCCAACAAAUCCUGGCUGGAUGCACUGUAUGUGUUAUUAAUAAAACAGCUGUAAAAAUA
ensembl:lncRNA LINC01539 long intergenic non-protein coding RNA 1539